GACGAACGCUGGCGGCGUGCUUAACACAUGCAAGUCGAACGGAAUCCAUGUGGUGGAACACCGCGGAAGAUUUAGUGGCGAACGGGUGAGGAACACGUGAGGAACCUGCCCCAAACUUUGGGAUAACAGUUGGAAACGACUGCUAAUACCAGCUGCCGUUACUUCUGUCGCAUGUUGAGGUAACGAAAGUUUUUCGGUUUGGGAGGGCCUCGUGGCGUAUCAGCUUGUUGGUGAGGUAAUGGCUCACCAAGGCAACGACGGGUAGCUGGUCUGAGAGGACGCUCACCCACAUUGGGACUGAGACACGGCCCAGACUCUUACGGGAGGCAGCAGUGGCGAAUCUUGCGCAAUGGGCGAAAGCCAGACGCACCAACGCCGCGUGCGGGAAGAAGGCCUUAGGGUUGUAAACCGCUUUCAGCAGGGAAGAAAAUGACUGUACCUGCAGAAGAAGGCGCGGCCAAAUACGUGCCAGCCGCCGGGGUGACACGUAGGCAUCAAGCGUUGUCUGGAUUUAUUGGGCGUAAAGAGGUGGUAGGGUGUUCAGUUAGUUGGGUGUGAAAACUCCGGGGUUAACCCGGAGCCGCCACCCAAUAAUGCUGUGACUAGAGUUUGGUAGGGGAGCGGGGAAUUCCUAGUGUAGCGGUGAAAUGCGCAGAUAUUAGGAGGAACACCGGUGGCGAAGGCGCCGCUCUGGCCGAAACUGACGC
rnacentral:rRNA from 1 species